UUCCGGUUGAUUAAGGGGGUUUGUCUGAGGGUGGGGGAAUGAACUGAAGGCCGUGGGCCUGGUGAGCUUGUUGCUCAUUGGAGUGGCUGCUUGGGGCAAGGGCCUGGGUCUGGUGUCCAGCAUCCACAUCAUCGGCGGAGUCAUUGCUGUGGGAGUCUUCCUUCUCCUUAUUGCAGUGGCUGGACUGGUGGGUGCUGUCAACCACCACCAAGUCCUGCUGUUCUUUUACAUGAUCAUCCUUGGUUUGGUCUUCAUCUUCCAAUUUGUAAUCUCUUGCUCAUGUCUGGCUAUUAACCGAAGCAAACAGACAGAUGUCAUCAAUGCUUCUUGGUGGGUCAUGAGCAACAAGACUCGGGAUGAACUGGAAAGAAGUUUUGAUUGUUGUGGCUUAUUCAACCUCACAACCCUGUAUCAACAAGAUUAUGAUUUCUGCACUGCAAUCUGCAAGAGCCAGAGCCCCACAUGCCAGAUGUGUGGAGAAAAGUUUC
rnacentral:lncRNA from 1 species